rnacentral:lncRNA from 1 species
CGGGAGGAGUUGUGGACGGAGCCACUUUUCCUACAUACAACGAACGGCCUCUCGCUGUCUGGCGGGAGCGGGCAGCGCUUCGGUGGCUUUUUUUUUUUUUUUUAAUUUGUUUUUUAUUUUUUUUACGCCACCCGUCUCCUGCGCUGUUCUUGCAGCAUCGUGUUUUGCUGGCUUAAAUUAAUGAUCGCGUUGUAGGGUUAGGGAAAAUAACGAGUGUUUAAAAGUUUAUACUGAGUCAUUCCUCUGCAGAUGAACCUAUGACUGACUCAUAAUCUGAGAACUGCAGUGGCUUGUAAAAUAGGAAGCAGGAAAGCCUGAAUGCUUAGGCUUUAACUGAAUCAAGACCAGCUCUCAGCAGCAGGAGACGAUGUAUUAAUCCAUUGGAAGUACACACUGCAGUCUUGUGUUUCACUGUGUUUGCGCUGUGAAUUUUUUUCAUGUAAACAGGGUGAAGAAAGAAACCGGGCAGACUAGCGAAGUUCUUUUUGUCAAGAGUAAAGAGAACGCUUACAGACCAUUGAGAAAGUGCUUUUUUCUUCUCUCUUCUCAAGCUACAGAUCAAAUGAGAUUCAAAUAAAACAAAGAAAAUGUGUUCUUCGCUUUGCAAAGUUCCACCUGAUUUUGGUGACCACCAGCUGCCCUGUCAUACUAAGGCAGGGUCUGAUAUGAAGACCUCUGCAGUGAUGUGUCCUUGUGCUAAGCAGCUCUGAAGUCAAGAUUUCCAUG